GACGAACCGUCCAAACGUUAUUCGGAAUCACUGGGCUUAAAGAGUUCGUAGGCGGUCUGGAAAGUUGGGUGUGAAAUCCCUCGGCUCAACCGAGGAACUGCGCUUGAAACUACCAGACUCGAGGGAGAUAGAGGAAAGCGGAACUGAUGGUGGAGCGGUGAAAUGCGUUGAUAUCAUCAGGAACACCGGUGGCGAAGGCGGCUUUCUGGGUCUUACCUGACGCUGAGGAACGAAAGCUAGGGGAGCGAACGGG
rnacentral:rRNA from 1 species